rnacentral:ncRNA from 1 species
UCUUAUCAAGAGCAGGUGGAGGGAAAUAUGGCCCGAUGAAACCCAGCAACCGACCGUAAUAUCGUUGUGAAACGAGGCGCAGCUAGAGAUGUCUGCGCCCAAUGUAAGGCACGGUGCUAAUUCCAUUCAGAAUUUAUUCUGGAAAGAUGAGA